CAAGACUUGCGCUAAAGGAGCGGCCGAUGUCUGAUUAGCUAGUUGGUGGGGUAAAGGCUUACCAAGGCAACGAUCAGUAGUUGGUCUGAGAGGACGGCCAACCACACUGGGACUGAGACACGGCCCAGACUCCUACGGGAGGCAGCAGUGGGGAAUUUUGGACAAUGGGCGAAAGCCUGAUCCAGCCAUGCCGCGUGAGUGAAGAAGGCCUUCGGGUUGUAAAGCUCUUUUAGUCGGAAAGAAAGAGUUGCAAUGAAUAAUUGUGAUUUAUGACGGUACCGACAGAAAAAGCACCGGCUAACUACGUGCCAGCAGCCGCGGUAAUACGUAGGGUGCGAGCGUUAAUCGGAAUUACUGGGCGUAAAGGGUGCGCAGGCGGUCUUGCAAGUCAGAUGUGAAAGCCCCGGGCUUAACCUGGGAAUU
rnacentral:rRNA from 1 species